rnacentral:lncRNA from 1 species
GUCUGAAGGCCAGAAUUCUACAGUAAGUCCUACUGAGUCAAGGUGGGAGCAGGGUCGGUAGCUUCCGAGGCUCUGCGGGAGAAUCCGUUUCCUGGCCGUAGAGGUGGCCUGCACUCCGCAGCUUGUGCUGCCCGUCUCGAAUGACUGGAGUUUCCUGCUUCUGUCACUACACCUCCCACCCUCUCCAUCACCUGCUCUGCUCUUACAAGGAUCCGAGUGAGUACAUCAACCCCAAAAGCCAAAGACCC